rnacentral:rRNA from 1 species
UACAGAGGGGGCAAGCGUUGUUCAGAAUUACUGGGCGUAAAGGGCUCGUAGGCGGCCAACUAAGUCAGACGUGAAAUCCCCAGGCUUAACCUGGGAACUGCGUCUGAUACUGGAUGGCUUGAAUUCGGGAGAGGGAUGCAGAAUUCCAGGUGUAGCGGUGAAAUGCGUAGAUAUCUGGAGGAAUACCGGUGGCGAAGGCGGCAUCCUGGACCGACAUUGACGCUGAUGAGCGAAAGCUAGGGGAGCAAACGGG